rnacentral:rRNA from 1 species
GACGAACGCUGGCGGCGUGCUUAACACAUGCAAGUCGAACGGAAAGGCCCUGCUUUUGUGGGGUGCUCGAGUGGCGAACGGGUGAGUAACACGUGAGUAACCUGCCCUUGACUUUGGGAUAACUUCAGGAAACUGGGGCUAAUACCGGAUAGGAGCUCCCGCUGCAUGGUGGGGGGUGGAAAGUUUCGGCGGUUGGGGAUGGACUCGCGGCUUAUCAGCUUGUUGGUUGGGUAGUGGCUUACCAAGGCUUUGACGGGUAGCCGGCCUGAGAGGGUGACCGGCCACAUUGGGACUGAGAUACGGCCCAGACUCCUACGGGAGGCAGCAGUGGGGAAUAUUGCCCAGUGGGCGGAAGCCUGAUGCAGCAACGCCGCGUGCGGGAUGACGGCCUUCGGGUUGUAAACCGCUUUCGCCUGUGACGAAGCGUGAGUGACGGUAAUGGGUAAAGAAGCACCGGCUAACUACGUG